ACCAGGUGUGGUGGCGCAUGCCUGUAAUCCCAGCGGCUCAGGAGGCUGAGCCAGGAGAAUUAAGAGUUCAAAGCCAACCUCAGCAACUUUGUGAGGCCCUAAGCAACUCAGUGAGACCCUGUCUCUA
rnacentral:sRNA from 1 species